rnacentral:lncRNA from 1 species
GUCCCAUUAGUUUUCUUUGCAGCCUCGUUUGAAUGUCGCGGUUGCGCACAUUUGUACGGAAUGGGCACUGCACAGCUGAUUCAAAUGAUCAAGUCAUCAUCAAGCUUCGAGUGAUACCUUGUAACUGGAGAUUCCUUCAAAACGAUUGCCUACAGUUAACGUGUAGGGCACUGCAAGGUUGUGUGACCAGGGCCAUCUGGGACUGCCUCCUGGAGGAAUUCAGGUGUGUGAAGGCUACCUGUGUCCUGCAUAACUUCAUGAGGAUGGACACGAGGACAAGGGGGGAUCUGCAGCUCGCCGCAGUGUGCCAGAGGAGAAGUCUGCUGCUCUGCAGGAUGUUUCAAGAAUGCGGUCCAACAACACAGCAAGAGAGGCAAUCCGUGUGCGGGAGAUCUUCACCUCCUACUUCUUUGAAGAGGGUGCUGUUCCAUUGGCAACACCAUAGACUACACUAUGCACAACCAAAGGCUCUUUUAAGAGCCAUUUACAUUGCAAUAAGAGUAUUCUUCCAUUUACUUAACUAUGUCAACUGCAGUUAUUCAAUUCACAGUUUCUCUCCCUUUGAUUUCUACUUCGCAGGUGAGGGUGCUGUUUAGGUAGGAGUGGGGUCUGUACAAAAACAAAAUUUAGAACAAUUAGACACCCUAUAUCCCACACCUACACAAUCAUGUAUCAAUCUAAUUGAUGGAUUGUGUUGUGCACUAAGCAG